rnacentral:rRNA from 1 species
UACGUAGGAUGCAAGCGUUAUCCGGAUUUAUUGGGCGUAAAGAGCGUGUAGGUGGUUCUUCAAGUCGAGUGUGAAAUCUCUUAGCUUAACUGAGAGUGGUCAUUCGAUACUAAGGGACUUGAGGGCAGCAAGGGAAAGCGGAAUUCCCGGUGUAGCGGUGAAACGCGUAGAUAUCGGGAGGAACACCCGUGGCGAAGGCGGCUUUCUGGGCUGCAUCUGACGCUGAGACGCGAAAGUGUGGGGAG